GAUGAACGCUGGCGGCGUGCCUAAUACAUGCAAGUCGAGCGAACAGACGAGAAGCUUGCUCCUCUGACGUUAGCGGCGGACGGGUGAGUAACACGUGGAUAACCUACCUAUAAGACUGGGAUAACUUCGGGAAACCGGAGCUAAUACCGGAUAAUAUAUUGAACCGCAUGGUUCAAUAGUGAAAGACGGUUUUGCUGUCACUUAUAGAUGGAUCCGCGCCGCAUUAGCUAGUUGGUAAGGUAACGGCUUACCAAGGCAACGAUGCGUAGCCGACCUGAGAGGGGGAUCGCCAAAACGGGAACGGGAACACGGUCAAGACCCCUAGGGAAGGCAGAAGAAGGGAAUUUCCGGCAAGGGGCGAAAGCCUGACGGGGAAACGCGGCGGGGGGGAGGAAGGUCUUCGGAUCGUAAAACUCUGUAAUAAGGAAAGAAAAAAGGUGUAAGUAACGAUGAACGUCUGGACGGUACCAAACCAGAAAGCAACGGCUAACUACGU
rnacentral:rRNA from 1 species